ACCCGAAGUCCGUGAGGUAACCGUAAGGAGCCAGCGGCCGAAGGUGGGAUUAGUGAUUGGGGUGAAGUCGUAACAAGGUAGCUGUAGGUGAACCUGCAAGAAGGAUCA
rnacentral:rRNA from 1 species